rnacentral:rRNA from 1 species
CCAGCAGCCGCGGUAAUUCCAGCUCCAAUAGCGUAUAUUAAAGUUGUUGCAGUUAAAAAGCUCGUAGUUGAAACUCCGGCGAUUUUCGCCUGUCUGGAAUCUUUAAGGAUAAGGUAACACUUUUCUUUCUAGUGAACAGACUUUUACUGUGAACAAAUUAAAGUGCUUAAAGCAGGCUUGUGCUUGAAUACUUUAGCAUGGAAUAAUAAAAUACGACUUUAUUCAUUUUAUUGGUUAUUGAAUGAAGUAAUGAUUAACAGAAACAGUAGGGGGCAUUCGUAUUUGGUUGGUUAGAGGUAAAAUUCUUAGAUCCACUAAAGACGAACUAAUGCGAAAGCAUUUGCCAAGGAUGUUUUCAUUAAUCAAGAACGA